UGAAAGAAGAAAUUGAUGUUAAAAACAGUAAAACAGGACAACUCGGUGGUGGCCACUGUGCAGAUCAGACUUCGCUUGUUCUCACGUGCCUGGCUCCGCUUUCCCUCCGCAACCAUGUCUGACAAACCCGAUAUGGCUGAGAUCGAGAAAUUCGGUAACUCGAAACUGAAGAAGACAGAGACGCAAGAGAAAAAUCCACUGCCUUCCAAAGAAACGAUGGAACAGGAGAAGCAAGCAGGCGAAUCGUAAUGAGGCGUGCGCCACCAAUAUGCACUGUAUAUUCCACAAGCAUUGCCUUCUUAUUUUACUUCUUUUAGCUGUUUAACUUUGUAAGAUGCAAAGAGGUUGGGUCAAGUUUAAAUGACUGUACUGUCCCUUUCACAUCAAAGAACUACUGACAACGAAGGCCGCGCCUGCCUCUCUCAUCUGUCUAUCUGGCUGGCAGGGAAGGAAAGAACUUGCAUGUUGGUGAAGGAAGAAGUGGGGUGGAAGAAGUGGGGUGGGACGACAGUGAAAUCUAGAGUAAAACCAAGCUGGCCCAAGGUGUCCUGCAGGAUGUAAUGCAGUUUAAUCAGAGUGCCUUUUUUUUUUUUUUUUUGCUCAAAUGAUUUUAAUUAUUGGAAUGCACAAUUUUUUUAAUAUGCAAAUGAAAAGUUUAAAAACUU